CUCACUUUGCCCUGAGCAUGCCGUCCACUGCUAGCAACUUAUUUUAGAUCCUCUUUGCUUUAUUUUUACACGUGGGUGAUCUUUUUGUUUUUUGCACUUAUUUUGUACACGUUUUGUAGCAACCACUGGAGACACUGCAAACCACACUUCCACGUCAUAAGUCAUGUGUCUUCUGGAUGAUGAGCUACACACUCGUUAUUGGUGAG